GACGAACGCUGGCGGCGUGCCUAAUACAUGCAAGUAGAACGCUGAAGAGAGGAGCUUGCUCUUCUUGGAUGAGUUGCGAACGGGUGAGUAACGCGUAGGUAACCUGCCUUGUAGCGGGGGAUAACUAUUGGAAACGAUAGCUAAUACCGCAUAACAAUGGAUGACACAUGUCAUUUAUUUGAAAGGGGCAAUUGCUCCACUACAAGAUGGACCUGCGUUGUAUUAGCUAGUAGGUGAGGUAACGGCUCACCUAGGCGACGAUACAUAGCCGACCUGAGAGGGUGAUCGGCCACACUGGGACUGAGACACUGCCCAGACUCCUACGGGAGGCAGCAGUAGGGAAUCUUCGGCAAUGGGGGCAACCCUGACCGAGCAACGCCGCGUGAGUGAAGAAGGUUUUCGGAUCGUAAAGCUCUGUUGUAAGUCAAGAACGAGUGUGAGAGUGGAAAGUUCACACUGUGACGGUAGCUUACCAGAAAGGGACGGCUAACUACGUG
rnacentral:rRNA from 1 species